rnacentral:rRNA from 1 species
GGGAUAUUGCGCAAUGGGGGAAACCCUGACGCAGCAACGCCGCGUGGAGGAUGACGGUUUUCGGAUUGUAAACUCCUUUUAUGGGGGACGAAUCAAGACGGUACCCCAUGAAUAAGCUCCGGCUAACUACGUGCCAGCAGCCGCGGUAAUACGUAGGGAGCAAGCGUUGUCCGGAUUUACUGGGUGUAAAGGGUGCGUAGGCGGCUUGGCAAGUCAGGUGUGAAAUGCAGAGGCUCAACCUCUGACCUGCACUUGAAACUGUCAGGCUUGAGUGAUGUAGAGGCAGGCGGAAUUCCCUGUGUAGCGGUGAAAUGCGUAGAGAUAGGGAGGAACACCAGUGGCGAAGGCGGCCUGCUGGGCAUUAACUGACGCUGAGGCACGAAAGCGUGGGUAGCAAACA